AUGGAGUUUGGACUGAGCUGGGUUUUCCUUGUGGCUAUUUUAAAACGGUGUAUCUCUGUGUUUGCAAUUAUCCAGUGUGAGGUGCAGCUGGUGGAGUCUGGGGGAGGCGUGGUACAGCCUGAGGGGUCCCUCAGACUCUCCUGUGCAGCCUCUGGAUUCACCUUUGAUGAUUAUGGCAUGGACUGGGUCCGCGAAGCUCCAGGGAAGGGCCUGGGUCUCAUUUAUUAAUCGGGAUGGUAGUAGCGCGUACUAUUCAGAUUCUGUGAAGGCCAAUUCACCAUCUUCAGAAACAGUUCCAAGAACUCCCUGCAUCUGCAAAUGAACAGUCUGAGAGCUGAGGACACAGCCUUGUAUUACUGUGCAGGAGAUACACUGAGAGAGGAAGUCAGUGAGAGCCCAGACACAAACCUCCCUGCAGGAAGACAGGAGGGGUCUUGGCAGCAGGGGGCGCUCAGGACUCACUGA